rnacentral:rRNA from 1 species
UACGGAGGGUGCAAGCGUUAAUCGGAAUUACUGGGCGUAAAGCGCACGUAGGUGGUUUGCUAAGCCAGCUGUGAAAUCCCCGGGCUCAACCUGGGCACUGCAGUUGGAACUGGCAAGCUAGAGUAGGGUAGAGGGGUGUGGAAUUCCAGGUGUAGCGGUGAGAUGCGUAGAUAUCUGGAGGAACAUCAGUGGCGAAGGCGACACCCUGGACUCAUACUGACGCUGAGGUGCGAAAGCGUGGGGAGCAAACAGG